rnacentral:rRNA from 1 species
UACGUAGGGUGCAAGCGUAAUCGGAAUUAUUGGGCGUAAAGAGCUCGUAGGCGGUCUGUCACGUCGGCUGUGAAAACCCGAGGCUCAACCUCGGGCCUGCAGUCGAUACGGGCAAACUAGAGUACUGCAGGGGAGACUGGAAUUCCUGGUGUAGCGGUGAAAUGCGCAGAUAUCAGGAGGAACACCGGUGGCGAAGGCGGGUCUCUGGGCAGUAACUGACGCUGGAGGAAGCGAAAAGCGUGGGGAGCGAACAGG